ACAAUCUGCCAAAGAAGUGAUAAAUUCAGUGAAAAUGUCAAGAAGGUUGUGGAAAUGGGAUUUAAUCCUUUGAAAUUUACCUUCCUGAAUGCACUCCAAGCAUUCUGUCAAACGACUGAAUCAACUCGGCAGCAAAAAAAGGAGAUCUAUAGGAGGUGGGGUUGGUCUGAAGAUGAGAUUCUGUUGGCAUUCAGAACUCGUCCAGAAUGCAUGCGAUUGUCUGAGAAGCAUGUUAUGAAAGUCUUGGAUUUCCUUGUGAACAAAAUGGGUUGGCAACCUGCAGCUGUUUCUAGGGAUCCAGUAGCCAUCUGCCUCAAUUUUGAGAAGAGGGUUGUUCCAAGGUGUUCAGUUGUGAAAGUUCUGUUAUUGAAAGGGUUGGUAAAGAAGGAUAUGAGAUCAUCUACUUUUCUGAAGCUCACUGAGAGGGAUUUCUUGGAUAAGUAUGUAAUCAAACAUCAGGAUAACGUUCCUCAGUUGUUAGAUCUAUAUCAAGGGAAGGUGAGUUUUGCGGAGCUAGGAUUUGGAUCUUAGGAGAUAGUCAUAAGUGGCAUGAAAUGAUUGUAGCAUUUCAACUUUACCAAGUAAUUAUCAUUCUUUCCUUAGUGUUGCUAUAUUUCCAGCACAUCAAUUUUUGCAACUGUUUUGGUAAUUGUCUUCACCAGCUUCUGCUAGUGGUAACCUCAAAUAAUUCCUUACUUUCUUUUUAUUUAUGGUAGGCAAUACCUGCCUUAAGAAUUGAUGGAGAUAUGUAAUCUAUUAUGAAACCAAAAAGUGGGGAUGAAAACCCCAAAGUUUUGUAAUGGUAGUUUUUGAAGUUUGGUUUGCAGACUGCCCUGGUAUCUUGGAGUAUUUAUCAUCCCCCUCCCUCCAUGGGAAGUUUCCCGUAAGGAACUAAAAGGUGUAUUUUGUUUUGCCAAUGAAUAUACGAAUUUAGCUGCAUUUACUCAUUUUCAUUGUGUUUGCAGUUAAUGAAAUGGUGGUUAAACCAAGCUUCUGUUGGGGGUUAUUAAGUCUAUGUCUUUUAGUUUUGUUGUUCAGCUCAAACCAGAAGAGCUUCAGAGCUUUCUUUCUCUCUCUUUCUUUCUUUAAUGUGAAACUAAAAAUUUCACAUUAGGCCUCAGCCUAAUCCAAUAAGUCUCCUCUUUCAAGCUCUAUUUUUUUUUCUUUUUUCCCAGUUUGCUUGUUUUGGGUGUGGUCGAUUCUUGCUUAGUCCCUCUCUUGUGACCUAAUCUUCCAAAAAAAUUUAGGGCCACUACCAUUGAGUUGAAGGUGGCUCCACUGCCAAAAACCAUUAGUGUUUCUCACCCAAAUUCUCUUUGAAGGCAACUUUUCCAUCAAAUUUAAGAUAAUUUUUUAAAUAUUAUAUUUAAUUUAAAUGUUACUUGAUAAAAAUUAUAAUUAAAUUAUAGUUUAGAACUGCAAUUACUAUGAAGAACAACAUAUAGUUUAUACUAUAUAAAAAUCUAAGUUUAAUAAAUUAUUUUAUUGGAAGUUAUAAACCUAUAAUUUCUAAAUGAUAAAUUUUGUUGUGAUGAAAUGACAAGUUAUUCAUUAAAAUAUCACAUAAAUUAAGUAAUGUAAGCUUAGUAUAAAUUUUACAACAACUUUGAUUGUUUGAAAUACAUCAUUAAUACAAUUAAUAGUUGAAAUUACAGAGAUUGAAUAGAAAGAGAGAUUGGAAGGAGGAAGACGAACAUAUAGCCCCUACACUAAUAUUUUGAUAAUGGGGUAUUUUUGUCUUAACAAAUUCGUAACUUAGGUAUAUGAGCCUUGACGAGCCAUUAGGUGGAAUCAUUUCAACACAAGAGGGAAAAUCCGGGCUCUUAGAAGGAAAAUUUUCUCUUGAGAAGGUGUUGAAGGAACUUCUAGUAAAAGGACGCAUUGCUCUACUGCAGACCAAGUCCGAUCAAGAUUCAGAGCUAUACAAUUUUGAAAUUGGUAAGAGCCUGAAGCUUCCUUUGCAAAUGUGUCUUAAAUUUAUCUGUGAGAGGCUAGGGUUAAUCCCAAAAAGGUGGCAGGCAGAUUCCACGACCCAACUGCAUCUUCUUCGAAAUACAACUCCAUUUAUCAUCAGAUGUUUCUCGGCAUCCAACCAGCAUUCUUUCACUGUGUCUUACCUCGUAAACUCAUGUGGGUUGUCCCCAGAAACUGCUAUUUCUGCAUCCGAGAAGAUACACUUUGAAAACCCUAAAAACCCAGAUUCCGUUCUCGCUCUUCUCAGAAACUCGGGAUGUACCAACACCCAUAUCACCAAAAUUGUAACCAAGCUUCCUUCACUGCUCUUGGUCGAUCCUGAGAAGACCCUUUUGCCCAAACUCGAAUUUUUUUGUUCUAUGGGCUUUUCUAGUGCUCGUGUUGCUAGCAUGCUCUCUCCCGAUCCAAGUCUCUUGGGUAGGAGCUUAGAAAAGGUUCUAAUUCCCAAGUAUAAUUUCCUCAAGAGUGUACACAUCAGUAAUGAAGAUGCCAUAAAGGUUCUCAGGAGGUCAUCCUGGAGUUCUAGUGGAAAUCUGGAGAGGAACAUAGCUGCCAAUAUUGCAGUUCUGAGAGAAACUGGAGUUCCCAUAUCCCGUAUUUCAUAUUUAGUGACGCGUUAUCACGCAAUCUCCCUAAGAAGUGAUAAAUUCAGUGAAAAUGUCAAGAAGGUUGUGGAAAUGGGAUUUAAUCCUUUGAAAUUUACUUUCCUGGAUGCACUCCAAGCAUUCUGUCAAACGACUGAAUCAACUCGGCAACAAAAAAUGGAGAUGUAUAGGAGGUGGGGUUGGUCUGAAGAUGAGAUUCUAUCGGCAUUCAGACGUCGUCCACAAUGUAUGCAAUUGUCUGAGAAGAAAGUUAACAAGGUGUUGGAUUUCCUUGUGAACAAAAUGGGUUGGCAGCCUGCAGUUGUUGCUAGGGCUCCAGUAGCUAUCUGCCUCAAUUUUGAGAAGAGGGUUGUUCCAAGGUGUUCAGUGGUGAAAGUUCUGUUAUUGAAAGGGUUGAUAAAGAAGGAUUUGAAGUUAGGUACUUUUCUGAAUCUCCCUGUUGGGGAUUUCUUGGAUAAGUAUGUAAUCAAAUAUGAGGAUGAUAUUCCUCAGUUACUAGAUGUAUAUAAAGGGAAGGUGAGUUUUAUGGAGCUUAGGAGAUAGUGAUACAUGGCAUGAAAUGAUUGUAGCAUUUCAACUUUACAAGCCCAAGUAGUUACCAUUCUUUCCUAAGUGUUGUUAUAUUUCUGGCACAUCAGUUUUUGCACUAUUUUGAUAAUUGUCUUAACCAACUUCUGCUGGUGGCAACCGCCUACGAUUUCUUCUUUUGGUUUUGUUUAUGAUGGGCAAUACAUGCCUUAAGAGUAGAUGGAGAUAUGUAUUCAAUGAUGAAACAAAAAAGUAGGUUUGAAAACCCCAAAGUUUUGUAUGGCUUAGUUUCUAAAGUUUGGUUUGCAGAUUUCUCUGGUAUAUUGGAGUGCUUAUCAUUCUCCUUUCCUCCAUGGGAAGUUCCCUAUGGUAACUAAAAGGUGUAUUUUGUUUUGCCAAUCAAUAUAUGAAUUUAACUGAAUUUACUCUUCAUUGUGUUUGCAGUUGGUGAAAUGGUGGUUUAACCAAGUUUCUGUUGGGGAUUUUUAAGUCAUGUCUCUUAGUUUUGUUGUUCAGUUCAAAGCAGAAGAGCUUCAGAGCUAUCUGUCCAUAGUUUCUUUCUUUCUUUCUUUCUUUGAUGUGAAACCAAAAACUUCAAUGCAAUAAAAGGGGAGGAUUACAUAGAGAAGGAUGGGUGGUUUGGAUUCUAGCAGGGACUAGGACCAAUUUUCUAAACAAUGCCCCACAAAGGGAAGCCAAGCUUCAACAUGGUCAAGUGAUUCUAACCCUUGUCCCAAGUGGUUCAACAUGGUUUCAUUUCAUUUAGUAGGUCCUUUCUUGCCAUCCUAUCCUUUAUAUUUGUAUUAAUCUUUAUUUCGAAGAUUUCUUUUGUUUACUUAUUCAUUUUUCCAUUGUGAGGGAAAGAAAAUCUUUCUCUUCUAAGCUUGUUUGCCAACCAAAAGGUAUUUGAGUAAGGUUGAAAUUUAAUUUCAACCUCUUUUAGGCUAUGUUUGGUUUUUGAAAAAUUUGAAGGAAAGAAAAAUUGAGAGAAAAGGUAAAAGGAAAGAAAAAGGGUAGACAAAUUAAAAAAUAAAUUAUUUUUAUAUAUUACUUCAAACUUUUUUAACAAAUUUAACUCUUCUAUAUAUAGAUUAAAUCAUUUAAAAAUAUACAAAAUUUUAAUAAUUUUAAUUAUAUUUAAUUUCUUUUAUAUUUUUCACAAGUAUAAAAAAAUCAUUUUUCUUAAUAUUUUUUUUUUCUUUUUUUACUGCUUUCCGAGAAGCAAACACAAUCUUAUUAUUAUUUGUUUUAAAUCUAUAUGCUAGUAUUAUUUUUGUUCCUUGUGAAUAUAAUUUAGAGUUUAUUAUUUUUGUAAUUUUUGAUAAACAUUUUUUUUAGUAAAAAUAGUUAAAAUAACAUUUAGUAAUAAUUUAAAAGUAAAGGCAUUUAAAAAAAAUUAAAAUAUUAUAUGAACUUGAAAAAGGAGACAUCGGAAGGGUUAUUCGGAGGAAUAGUCCUAAACUCAAGAAUGUCUAUAGUGUCUAAUAUUUCAAAAAUGUCUAGAAUUUUUUUUAUUUUAAAUCACAACUUUCUUUAAAAAAUUGUUAAGGGUUUUGGAGAGAUUGAAUGGAAAGAAAGAUCGGAAGAGUCUGUAUGGAAUGCCAUGGGUAUUUUUGUCUUAACAAAUUCGUAAUUUAGGUAUAUGUGCCUAUGACCAGCCAUUAGGAAGCAUUUCAAGACGAGGGAAAAUCCGGGCUCAAAGGGUAAAUUUUUUCUGGAGAAGGUGUUGAAGGAACUUCCGGUAGAAGGACGCAUUGCUCUACUGCAGACCAAGUCCGAUCAAGAUUCAGAGCUAUACGAUUUUGAAAUUGGUAAGAGCCUGAAGCUUCCUUUGCAAAUGCGUCUUAAAUUUAUCUGUGAGAGACUAGGGUUAAUCCCAAAAUGGUGGCAGGCAGAUUCCACGACCCAACUGCAUUUUCUUCGAAAUACAACUCCAUUUAUCAUCAGAUUGUUCUCGGCAUCCAACCAGCAUUCUUUUACUGUGUCUUACCUCGUAAAGUCAUGUGGGUUGUCCCCAGAAACUGCUAUUUCUGCAUCCGAGAAGAUACACUUUGAAAACCCUAAAAAUCCAGAUUCUGUUCUCGCUCUUCUCAGAGACUCUGGAUGUACCAACACCCAUAUCGCCAAAAUCGUAACCAAGCUUCCUUCACUGCUCUUGGUCAAUCCUGAGAAGACCCUUUUGCCCAAACUCGAAUUUUUUCGUUCUAUGGGCCUUUCUAGUGCUGAUCUUGCUAGCAUCCUCUCUUCUGAGCCAAGUAUCUUGAAUAAGAGCUUAGAAAAGGUUCUAAUUCCCAAGCAUAAUUUCCUCAAGAGUGUACAUGUAAAUAAUGAAGGUGCCAUGAAGAUUCUCAAGAGGUCAUCCUGGAGUUCUAGUGGAAAGACCAUAGCUGCCAAUAUUGCUGUUCUGAGAGAAAUUGGAGUUCCCAUAUCCCAUAUCUCAUUUUUAGUGGUGCGUUAUCACACAAUCUGCCAAAAAAGUGAUAAAUUCAGUGAAAAUGUCAAGAAGGUUGUGGAAAUGGGAUUUAAUCCUUUGAAAUUUACUUUCGUGAAUGCACUCCAAGCAUUCUGUCAAAUGACUGAAUCAACUCGGCAACAAAAAAUGGAGAUGUAUAGGAGGUGGGGUUGGUCUGAAGAUGAGAUUGUGUCGGCAUUCAGAAGUCGUC
rnacentral:lncRNA from 1 species